GACGAACGUUGGCGGCGUGCUUAACACAUGCAAGUCGAGCGGUAAGGCCCUUCGGGUACGACGAGCGGCGAACGGGUGAGUAACACGUGGGUGACCUGCCCUUAGCUCUGGGAUAAGCCUGGGAAACUGGGUCUAAUACCGGAUAUGACCUCAUGACGCAUGUUGUGGGGUGGAAAGCCUUGUGCGGCUAGGGAUGGGCCCGCGGCCUAUCAGCUUGUUGGUGGGGUGAUGGCCUACCAAGGCGACGACGGGUAGCCGGCCUGAGAGGGCGACCGGCCACACUGGGACUGAGACACGGCCCAGACUCCUACGGGAGGCAGCAGUGGGGAAUCUUGCGCAAUGGGCGAAAGACCUGACGCAGCGACGCCGCGUGAGGGAUGACGGCCUCGGUUGUAAC
rnacentral:rRNA from 1 species